AUAUAUCCACCUGAUUUAUUCCCCUGUCCUGAAUGUUAUCAACUAUUUUGUUGGUAUCAUGACCUCCUCGAGAGGUGCAGAGAAAGGUGCCACCACGCUUGUGGAUAUCAUUCACAACUUUAGGAGUCAAUGUCACGGUGUUUUUUGAGUAGAAACCCCUAUACCCGCCCUGAAUGCCAAGUAUAUCAUUGACACCAUACAUAUAGUUCAAUCCGCAAACAAUCUCCCGGAUGACAGUAUUGAUCCCAGGACACAAGCCCCCACAAGUCACAAUGCAAGCACGCACUUCUUCAGGCGUAAAAUAGACCUUCUCUCGAGGCCCUGCACGCCUAAAAUGCACUCCUCUAGAGCUAUCUUUCCGGACAACAAUCUUCUGCGCAACCGCAUCUUCGGGUAUAACGAAAUUUUGCUUGACAAUAGCAUAAGCUUGGCUGUUCUGCAAUGGAUUCGGGUAGGAAGGUAAAUCAGGAAGGAAAUCUGUCAAGUGAGGAACAUCUUCGAGGACGAAGCCAUCGUUAAGCGCCCCGUUAGAAGUUUGAGCUCUGAGAGAGAGACAAUUUUGGCGCCAAAACAAGGAUCGAGUGGGGAACUUUCUGGAUUUGAGAUUGAAGUUACAGAUAACAGGAAAUAAUCUGAGCUUCUGGAAAGAUGGUUGAGAGAGAGAUCGAGAUGAAGAGAUUUCAGAGAAAGACGAAGGGAUUGAAAGAUCCAUUUCUACUUUCUAUAAUACAAGUAUUUUGUUUCUUUAAAAAGAGCAAUGGAUAUAUCACUGUACAGGGAACAGGUGUUUGAAUGGUAGAACAAGGAAGAAAGAACUCCUAGUCGGUCGUCUCCUCUUCCUGGCUCCUGU
rnacentral:misc_RNA from 1 species